CAGCCUAUUGUGGGACUUCACCUUAUGAUCAUGUCUCAGCAGGACAGCUUAUCUCUGCUCCAUGUGGCCUAACUGGGGUUGGAUGACCCACCUCCAAGAUGGCUUACUUUCAUGAAUGGUGACCUCACACUGGGAGCCUGAAACCAGCCAUGGUGAGAGUAUUGAUGGACAGAAAUCAGCAAAUGCUACAAAUCAGGACUCUACUCCUCCCCAGAGCUGGAAGCUAACUCUACAGCAGAAGCAGUGAGUCACAAGGACAAGAACCAAAUGAUAUGGACGACCCCAUCACAACAACUCAAGCUGGUGUAAACAUUCUCACAUGGCAUGAGAAUGAAACAUAAUGCAGUGCUCCCUCUCCCCAGACCUGGGUCACAUUCCUCUAUGGAUUAAAUGCAAUAGCAGUUAGGUUUUAAUUGCAUUCCUUUGAGCAAUGUCAUUUAUUUUACCUGUUGUUUACCAUUAAAUUUAUGUCCUGGAAGAUGUUGAUAAAACUACAAGAAGGAAAGUAUCCUUUUGCUAUGGUUUGAAUAGCAAACCAAAAUUUGUGUUGAAAUUUUAUCCCAAAUGUGGCAGAGAAUUA
rnacentral:lncRNA from 1 species